rnacentral:rRNA from 1 species
GAUGAACGCUGGCGGCGUGCCUAAUACAUGCAAGUCGAGCGAACAGACGAGAAGCUUGCUCCUCUGACGUUAGCGGCGGACGGGUGGGUAACACGUGGAUAACCUACCUCUAAGUCUGGGAUAACUUCGGGAAACCGGAGCUACUACCGGCUCAUAUAUUGAACCGCAUGGUUCAAUAGUGAAUGACGGUUUUGCUGACUCUUAUAGAUGGUUCCGCGUCGGAUUAGCUAGUUGGUAAGGUAACGGCCUACCAAGGCAACGAUGCGUAGCCGACCUGAGAGGAUGAUCGGCCACACUGGAACUGAGACACGGUCCAGACUCCUACGGGAGGCAGCAGUAGGGAAUCUUGCGCAAUGGGCGAAAGCCUGAUCGAGCAACGCCGCGUGAGUGAUGAAGGUCUUCGGAUCGUAAAACUCUGUUAUUAGGGAAGAAAAAAUGUGUAAGUAACCACGCCCGUCUUGACGGUACCCAAUCAGAAAGCCACGGCUAACUACGUG